rnacentral:rRNA from 1 species
AUGAUCGCCGCGGAGAAGGGCCACACAGAGAUCGCCUCCCUCUUGGCCCCGCACGAAAAGGGCCUGACCGACAGCAGAGGCAGCACCGCUCUGAUGAUCGCCGUGGCCAGCUCGCACGCCGAGGCUGCUAGGGCGAUCGCUGAGCACGAGCACGGCUCUAGAGACCCGCAGGGCCGCACCGCCCUGAUGCUGGCAGCGGAGCAGGGAAACCUUGAGAUUGUCAGGGCCCUCGUCGAGCACGAGAAGGGGCUGAGGGAUAACACUGGCUGCACGGCUCUUUCCUACGCAGCCCGAGCCGGCCACCGCGAUGUCGCAAUGCUCCUCAUGAACUAUGAGAAGGACGCCGCCGGCUGGACGAUGCUCAUGUGCGCCGCGGCCCUCGGGGACACAGGCCUGGCGUCCCAGCACCUCGAUGAGAAGGGCCAGAGGGACAAGCGGGGCCAGACAGCCCUCAUCAUCGCCGCCCAGAACGGAAGGGACGAGGCCGUGAAGCUCCUGAUGAAGCACGAGAGCGGUGUCUCCGGCUGGACGGGCCUCAUCUACUCUGCAUACCUCGGAGACAUGGAUGCGGUCAGGGAGAACGUCCACGAGAAGGGGUGCACCGACAUCACUUGGAUGACAGCGCUCAUGUGGGCUGCACAGCGAGGCCACCAGGGAGCAGUGGAGUUCCUCCUCGAGCACGAGAAGGGGAUGAAGGACAAGGACAGUAACACGGCCUUCAUGUAUGCUCUUAAGAAUCAGCACACAGACAUAGCUCUGCUUCUUCGCGAGCAUGAGGCCCCCUCAUGGACCCCUCUUAUGUGCGCGUCCUUCACUGGAGACGCUACCAUGGCGAGGAGGCACCUCCAUGAGAGAGACGUGAAGAACAGUGACGGUGAGACUGCGCUGACGAUUGUUGCAGGGAGGGGAUACAGGGAUAUCAUCGAGCUUCUAGAUCCCACAGAUGAGAAGGGCGUCACGGCACUCAUGAGAGCCGCAGCUAGGGGAGAUACCAAAACGACUGAGCUGCUUAUACCUAUCCAGGGAGGAAUGAAGGAUAGAGGUGGGAACACGGCAUUCGUGCACGCCCUCAGGAACAAGCACAGAGGCACGGCCAUGCUCCUUCAGGAGUACGAGACGCAUUCAUGGACCCCGUUCAUGCAGGCUGCUGCGGACGGAGACGUCGAGGCGGUCAAGAAGCACUUCUCGGACAAAGACAAGAAGAGCAACGACGGCGAGAUUGCGCUGAUCAUAGCCGCGAAGGCGGGGCACAAGGACAUCGUGGAGCUUCUCGACCCCACAGAUAGGUAUGGAGUCACUACCCUCAUGCGAGCUGUUGACAGAAACGAUCUGAUGGCUGUGAAGGCACUUGCUCCCCUUCAGGCAGGGCAGAGAGCGUCAUAUUUCAAUAUAAGUAACUGGAGUAUACACGAUGCAACGGCGCUGAUGAUAGCAGCAGCGCGUGGUCAUGUAGACUGUGUGAGACUCCUCGCAGAGAAGGAGAAGAACAUAAACAGGAAUGAGCUCUUGAACAUAGCCAAGGGAAAUAGAGAGAUACUAGCCAUCCUCUCGAAGUAGCCAGAGUAAACAACUAUCACCUCCACAUCAGACUUUACACAUCAGAGCCCCGCCACACAGCAGGACUCCGGGGUCAGCAGCCUCUAGCGCGGGAGCGAACGCGGCUCAGGGAAGUCGGCAAGCCGGCUCCGUAACCUCGGGAAAAGGAGUGGCUCUGACGGCGCGCCGGGUCAGAACUGGAACGGACGCGGGGAUCCCGACUGUUUACUAGAAACACAGCGUCGCGAGGGCCGCACCCGGCGCUGGCGCGACGUGAUUUCUGCCCAGUGCCACGACCGUCACCGUGAAGCGAUCCGCCGAAGCCCUGGUAAACGGCGGGAGUAACUAUGACUCUCUUAAGGUAGCCAAAUGCCUCGUCGGGCAAUUUCCGACGUGCAUGAAUGGACCAACGAGGAUCCCACUGUCCCGAGCCGCGCCUCCGCGAGCCUCCAGCCUCGGGAACGGGCGAGGGCCGGCCAGCGGGGCAAGAAGACCCUUUUGAGCUUGACUCCAGCCCGGGCCUGUGGGGCGGGGCGGCCGGCGCAGCGCACAGGGGAGGCCGCGCCCCUGAGACACCCUGAC